UAUCUGUAGAAAAGAAGAUUCUGUGUUCAUAAUCUUCGAAGGAAAUAAGUACUGAUGUUUGUAAUUCAAAAUUUUCGGAGGUAGGGUAAACAUAGACUUGGCGUCUGAAACUUAAUACAUGUGAAUAUUCGUCCCCAGGAAUGCCUGCUCCUAAAUAGGAUAAAGGAGAUGCGAUGCGAAGUCCAAGAUUUUUAAUGCUAUUUUCAACUAAGUCAUGUGGUAUGAACGGUGGAACGUUAGAUAUAAUUAUUCUUUUAGCAGGGGAAAUUAGUCUUCGGAUAUUUAAAGAAACAUUUCAUAUCUGUACUAAGGGAGGUGAAUCUAUAAGCUGGUCGACAAGGUUAGAGCUAGAAAGAUAGAUACAAAUACGAUUGUUUGAUAUCCUAGAUGCAAAAGAGACGUGCUUAGGACCUACCCUAACAACACACAACAUUUCAGGAAUGUACUACCAAAGUUCUAUCAAUAUUUGAAUGUCCUGGAUAUUUAGGGAACAUUCGGUGAACAUCUGUUUAAAUUAUUCCUGGAAUGUUACCAUAAGACAUUCUGUGAACAUACUACCAAUGUUCCUAUAUUUUAAGUUGCGAAAUAAUACAUACGUGUAACAGAUACAGCAUUACUUAUAACAUACCAGACAAACUAAGUGACAUUUUAGGCCUACAGUGCAAUAAUAUGUCAAAUUUAAAGAGUUUCCCAAGUUCAAUUAAUACAAUAUUAUAAACAUACAAAUGUAAUAAAAAUUAUUGUUCGCGAAUAUUCAAUUUUGAAUGUGAUUUUGUUAAUAAAAAAAAUACUUAUAACUUAUGCAAAACCCAAGAGAGGCAUUUAUAUUUAUUUCUUUUACAUUCAUUUUCAAAUUCGCCGUGCAUAUAUUUUUGUGCAUGGCGCUUGAGAGGGCAUCACGUGACUAAAAACGACCAACCAACGACCUCGCUUCGGCCAUCUUGGCAUCUUCAUCUUGGCCACCUUGCCUUGCCGUGGAUCGUUGUUUGUAUUAUUUGUGCUUUUUAAGAAUAUUUUUUUAAUUCGGGUACUUUUAUAAUAGCUUUAAUAGUAUUAUUAACAUAGUGCAUAAAAUGGUGUCCUGUUUUUAACGCAGUUGGAGUAGCAGAAACAAAUGUAGAUAAAAAAAUAGCAGGAAUAACGUUUCAAUUAUGACAGAAGCUCGAAACAAAUGACUGAAUGAAAAGCCCUAUUAAAAGCUUUCCAGAAGAUCCUGCGAAGAAGACAUGAAGUAUAGAUCAGAUUUGUUAAUAGAGGAGUAUGUUCAAAACACUUUUUAGAAAAAGAUAUUGACAGAACUUCACUUUCAUCUGUUCGUUUGAGAGACUGUGCUGUUCCAAUAGCUUAUGUCACACAGAAUCAGCUGAGAGAAGUGGUCUACAAAAAACCAGAAAGGAAACGGAAUAUGUGGCUACGAAAAGCAAAAGAAAGGUUUACAAAGCAAAUGUGACACAUUUUUUUAUAAUAUUUAAGAAUGUCAGUAAAUUACAUUAAAAAAUGUAUGUAAAGAUUUUUUGCAAUAAAAAUGUUUAUAUUUA